rnacentral:rRNA from 1 species
ACCAGACUCCUACGGGAGGCAGCAGUGGGGAAUAUUGGGCAAUGGGCGCAAGCCUGACCCAGCAACGCCGCGUGAAGGAAGAAGGCUUUCGGGUUGUAAACUUCUUUUCUCAGGGACGAAGCAAGUGACGGUACCUGAGGAAUAAGCCACGGCUAACUACGUGCCAGCAGCCGCGGUAAUACGUAGGUGGCAAGCGUUAUCCGGAUUUACUGGGUGUAAAGGGCGUGUAGGCGGGACUGCAAGUCAGAUGUGAAAACCACGGGCUCAACCUGUGGCCUGCAUUUGAAACUGUAGUUCUUGAGUACUGGAGAGGCAGACGGAAUUCCUAGUGUAGCGGUGAAAUGCGUAGAUAUUAGGAGGAACACCAGUGGCGAAGGCGGCUUACUGGACUGCAACUGACACUGAUGCUCGAAAGUGUGGGUAUCAAACAGGAUUAGAUACCCCCGUAGA